GCAUUCAGUUGCCAUCGGGUAAUGCCGGGCACUCUGAAGGACUGCCAUCGACAAGAUGGAGGAAGGUGGGGAUGACGUCAAGUCAUCAUGGCCCUUAUGUCCAGGGCGACACACGUGCUACAAUGGCCGGCACAACGGGAAGCGAGUUCGCGAGGACGAGCGGAUCCCUUAAAGCCGGUCGCAGUUCGGAUUGAAGUCUGCAACUCGACUUCAUGAAGCUGGAAUCGCUAGUAAUCGUGGAUCAGCCAAGCCGCGGUGAAUACGUUCCCGGGCCUU
rnacentral:rRNA from 1 species